rnacentral:rRNA from 1 species
UGGGGAAUCUUGCGCAAUGGGCGAAAGCCUGACGCAGCAACGCCGCGUGAGGGAUGAAGGCCUUCGGGUUGUAAACCUCUUUCAGCAGGGACGAUUGUGACGGUACCUGCAGAAGAAGCCCCGGCCAACUACGUGCCAGCAGCCGCGGUAAUACGUAGGGGGCGAGCGUUGUCCGGAUUCAUUGGGCGUAAAGAGCUCGUAGGCGGCUUGGUAAGUCGGGUGUGAAACCUCCAGGCUCAACCUGGAGACGCCACUCGAUACUGCCAUGGCUAGAGUCCGGUAGGGGUCCACGGAAUUCCUGGUGUAGCGGUGAAAUGCGCAGAUAUCAGGAGGAACACCGGUGGCGAAGGCGGUGGGCUGGGCCGGAACUGACGCUGAGGAGCGAAAGCGUGGGGAGCGAACAGGAUUAGAUACCCCCGUAGUCC